GGGGAUUUAGCUCAGUGGUAGAGCGCUUGCCUAGGAAGCACAAGGCCCUGGGUUUGAUCCCAGCUCCG
rnacentral:tRNA from 1 species